UACAGGGGGUGCAAACGUUGCUCAGAAUUAUUGGGCGUAAAGCGCGCGUAGGCGGCUACUUAAGUCGGAUGUGAAAGCCCCUGGCUCACUGGGGAAGUGCACCCGAAACUGAGUAGCUUGAGUGCAAAAGAGGGCCGCGGAAUUCCCGGUGUAGAGGUGAAAUUCGUAGAUAUCGGGAGGAACACCGGUGGCGAAGGCGGCGGCCUGGGUUGACACUGGACGCUGAGGC
rnacentral:rRNA from 1 species